GAAUCUUGGACAAUGGGGGCAACCCUGAUCCAGCCAUGCCGCGUGGACGAUGAAGGCCCUAGGGUUGUAAAGUCCUUUCACCCGUGAAGAUAAUGACGGUAGCGGGAGAAGAAGCCCCGGCUAACUCCGUGCCAGCAGCCGCGGUAAGACGGAGGGGGCUAGCGUUGUUCGGAAUUACUGGGCGUAAAGGGCGCGUAGGCGGAUGUUCAAGUCGGGGGUGAAAUCCCGGGGCUCAACCCCGGAAUGGCCUCCGAUACUGGACGUCUGGAGGACGGAAGAGGCGAGUGGAAUGCCGAGUGUAGAGGUGAAAUUCGUAGAUAUUCGGCGGAACACCCGUGGCGAAGGCGGCUCGCUGGUCCGUUUCUGACGCUGAGGCGCGAAAGCGUGGGGAGCAAACAGG
rnacentral:rRNA from 1 species